CAGCGUUUGAGGCGCCGCAAGCCUUCACGCCCCUCGGGCCUUGCAGAUCCCUCUCCCAGUUUCCGCGGCGGUCCGGUGCGGUCAGUACCUGUCUAAAAUCAAUAUUGCCGAGGCCUCCGCAGCAGUCAGGCCCUGCCACCGAGCUGUUCGUUACCUCGGCUCCCGGGUUCCCAGAUCUCUUCAUCCGGGGGCCGCCUCAGGAGGCACCACGCGGGCCCCGCUGCAGCCACGCGCCCCCGGAACCGGACCUAUAGAGCCGGGUGUAACGCAUUGAGCUGGGUGAGCUGGGCAGCCUUGGAGUUGAAAGGACCCCAGGAAUCCAGUCCAGGUCCCCUGUGGUGCAAAUGGGGAAACUGAGGUCCGGACAGGGAGAGGACCUCACCCAGCCGGUGGCUGCCAGGUAACGCAUGUCUUUGGUUUUGUCCCUUUAACUCUGUGAGUCUGGGUCUCAGUCUCCUCAUCUGUCAGUUAUAAAUGAUAAUCCCACUACAGUCCCAGGGCAUUGCCGGAGAAGCUGGCGGCGGCGUGGCAGUUGCUGUUCUCUGAAAAGUCCCCACUGUUCCUGCCCUCCCAGCCUUGGUCUUUGCUGGGCCCUGGGGUCCCUUCCUCAGGCUCCUCCCUGCUGAGCCCGCCCCCCGCACAUCCUGGCUUGGGUCCCUGCAGUAAGCCCUGUUCUCACCCCCACCCCCGUCCAGGAACAAGGGCUGGGAUGCUCUCACCAGCGUCAGCUUCUCUCAUGCUGAAAGCUCUGACUCUUGCACCAUGCCCAGGCCAGAGCCCUCACUCAAUGCACUGAAUAACUGAGCACACACAGGCACACCUGGAAUCCUAACCGCUUCCACGGUCCCCUAAAUGCUCAUCCUGAGCCAGAAAGUCUAACUGACUCUUUUGUUGUUCUUUUUUUUUUUUUUGAGACAAGGUCUCGUUCUGUCUCCUAAGCUGGAGUGCAGUGGUGCAAUCAUGGCUCACUGUAGCCUCCAACUCAUAGGCUCAAGAGAUACUCCUACCUUAGCCUCUCAAGUAGCUAGGGCUGCAGAUGUGACCACCGCACCUGGCUAAUUAUUAUAAUAUUAUUAUUGUUAUUAUUUUUUGAGACGGAAUCUUGCUCUGUUGCCCAGGCUGGAGUGCAAUGGCAUGAUGUCCCGGCUCACUACAACCUCCACUUCCCGGGUUCA
rnacentral:lncRNA from 10 species